rnacentral:pre_miRNA from 1 species
CGUGCGUUUAUGUCAGCGCAAUGCUUUUGUUUGGCGGCAUGCGGAUGGCAUACACGUCCAC